rnacentral:sRNA from 1 species
GCGGCAGUGACAGCAGCGACGGGAAGCGC